rnacentral:piRNA from 1 species
GACAGAGACUCACUACUGCCUUUAAAGC